rnacentral:lncRNA from 1 species
GGAACCUUCGUGAGUACAAUGAAAAUCCAAAAGGACACAUGUAUGACCGAGUAAAGAGCAGCUCUUCAGAAAUUCUGGGAGGUAAUGAACCAACAAGUAAAGACAUAAAAAAGGCUAAAAAAGUCAGAAACUGAUGCAGAGUGCUAAUGAUCCACUCCCAGAGAUAAAGCCAAUAGGAGACCAAAUAGCCUUACAAAGUGAUAAGAAAGAUGCCAACCAGAACCACAUGGGUCAGAAUCUUCAGGAUACUGCAACACCAAAUAUGGAGGGAAAGUCCAAAUCCUGUACAAUUCUAUAAAUGUAUGUUUAUGUUUCCAUGGUCACCGAGCACAUUUAUUCUUCAUACUUGAAAAAUGUUGUGACUUCUGAAGGAAAUUCCCCCAUAACACUGUUUAAAAAGAUAUUAAUUAGUAAGUUUGGCUUGGUUUGG